CCCUAUCCGCUGAUCCAGUCAAU
rnacentral:siRNA from 1 species